CGAGGGCAGUCCACGGGGGCUCAAAGAGCCGCAUGCAGCCUGCGAGGCGUUGGGAUAGCGUGACAAAAAUUCAACGAAUGCCGGGCCGGCUGAACUGACCAAGGAAUGGCGUUUCAAUUUAUGCAUUUUUUUUUUCUCGAGUUAGGUAGUAAGUUAUUUGAUUUUUUUACGUGAGGUUUGGUCAGCAGCGAGUGAGUUAGUUUUCCUUGGCCUUUACACGGUCGCGAGAGGAAGAAGGUGAUCCACAACCUGUGGCACGGAACAAAGACAGGACAUCAGUGAGUGGGUUUGAAGGUGGAAUAUGGAUGCCUCGCUGCUGAAUUUAACCAAACGAUGCUCGCGACCUCACGAAGCGAGUUGGAAUCUUCAGCGAAGCUUUGGGUGAACGAUCCUUGCUCCAGCCGCUGCUAUCCCUGGGUCUCUGGAUCGUUUCAACCGUGCGAGACAAAGCCGCGCCGCAGCGCACAGGAGAUGUGCAGAGUAUGCAUGCACGCUAAGAUGUGUAACUUGUCCUCAAGCUGUCAGCUGCAGCAUGUCGGCGGCAUGCUUGAUCCUGAUUGUCGCACUCCAUCCUGCCGAUUCUUUUUCCUGGCUGAAACUAACCCCAAGC
rnacentral:sRNA from 2 species